CAGCCGCCGGGUAAUACAGAGGGUGCGAGCGUUAAUCGGAUUUACUGGGCGUAAAGCGUGCGUAGGCGGCUAAUUAAGUCGGAUGUGAAAUCCCCGAGCUUAACUUGGGAAUUGCAUUCGAUACUGGUUAGCUAGAGUGUGGGAGAGGAUGGUAGAAUUCCAGGUGUAGCGGUGAAAUGCGUAGAGAUCUGGAGGAAUACCGAUGGCGAAGGCAGCCAUCUGGCCUAACACUGACGCUGAGGUACGAAAGCAUGGGGAGCAAACAGGAUUAGAUACCCCAGUAGUCCCUGUCUCUUAUACU
rnacentral:rRNA from 1 species